rnacentral:tRNA from 1 species
AUUGGGGUGGCAGAGCAUGGCAUAUUGCGAAAGGCCUAAGCCCUUUUACACAGAGGUUCAAAUCCUCUUCCCAAUU